rnacentral:rRNA from 1 species
CCUACGGGAGGCAGCAGUAGGGAAUCUUUCACAAUGGGCGAAAGCCUGAUGGAGCAACGCCGCGUGCAGGAUGAAGGCCUUCGGGUUGUAAACUGCUGUUAUAAGCGAGAAAUAUGAUGGUAACUUAUGAAUAAGGAUCGGCUAACUACGUGCCAGCAGCCGCGGUCAUACGUAGGACCCGAGCAUUAUCCGGAGUGACUGGGUGGAAAGAUGUGCGAAGGUGGCAGAAUAAGUAGCUAGUGAAAUCUGGUGGCUCAACCAUUCAGACGAUUAGCUAAACUGUUAAGCUCGAGACCGUUAGGGGUAACUGGAAUUUCUAGUGUAGGAGUGAAAUCCGUAGAUAUUAGAAGGAACACCAAUAGCGUAGGCAGGUGGCUGGGACGGUUCUGACACUAAGGCACGAAAGCGUAGGGAGCAAACGGGAUUAGAUACCCGUGUAGUC